GAUGAAGAACGCAGCGAAAUGCGAUAGGUAGUGUGAAUUGCAGAUGUAACGUGAAUCAUCGAAUCUUUGAACGCAAAUUGCAUUCCCUGGUAUUCCGGGGAGUAUGCCUGUUUGAGGGUCGCCAAAUACACAUCGAUUAACAUUGCUUUUGAAGUAAAUGUUUUAUCGGAUUUGAGCUUUCUUUAUUCUUACGAAUAAAGUGGCUUAAAAUUUAUUUUUUUUUGUAUCAAGCGUAUUUUAUAAUCAAUUUUUUAUUAAAAAAGAACGUUUCGAAUGCCAUCCUUCAAUGUAAUACGUUUGACUAUAUGUAAUAAUAUAUAGUUCAUUCGCAUACGAUUCAUAAAUUUUUUUUUUGACCUCAAAUCAGGUAAGAGUACCCGCUGAACUUAAGCAUAUCAAUAAGCGGAGGA
rnacentral:misc_RNA from 1 species